CAGCAGCAGGGACAGCCACUGGGUAUUUACCAGCUCAAAAGAUUUUUUCCCAAAGGAAAAAAAGAGAAGCACAUGCAUUGGUCAUUAGGCAUCAUCUGUAUUUAAUCUGCAUCUGAAGUAGCUUGGGCUGGUUACUCCACCACCUGGAGUUUACUCCACCACCUGGGUGCAGCAGAAAAAAGUCCGGAUGCUUGUCUUCCUUGUGUCUUUAUGGGAGGUGAGUCAGGCCGUGGGCCAUGCUAUUGUCUACUGGUAUCGUGUAUAAGGAGCUGGUCUGUGUUUUGUCUUUGCAGGCAAGCAGGGUUUUAACUUUAAUGAGGGCAGCUUCAGGAAUUCAGUGGAAGGAAUGUAGCUGCAAAGUAACAUGAAUGAUCUUCAGCCUUCAGGGGACUGAAGACAAGCCUGGCUCCUGCAUUCAGGAUCAGCUCUAGAGAUACAAUAUAUCGCCAAAACUUUAUAAUUUCCCUUCACUGGAACUAAGAGGCCCUGUUUCAUCAUGACAAUGCCCAUGUGCACAAAGUGAGCUCCAUGAAGACAUGGUUUGCUAAUGUCGAUGUGGAACAACUCAAGUGGCCUGCACAGAGCCCUGACCUCAACCCCACUGAACACCUUUGGGAUGAACUGGAACACUGACUGCACCGCAGACCUCCUCACCAACAUCAGUGUCUGAGCUGACUAAUGCUGCUGUGGCUGAAUGAACACAAAUCCCCACAGCCACGCUCCAACAUCUAGCGGAAAGCCUUCCCAGAAGAGUGGAAAUUAUUAUAACAUCACACUCCAUGUCUGUCUGUCUAUCUAUCUAUCUAUCUAUCUAUCUAUCUAUCUAUCUAUCUAUCUAUCAUGAGCAGUAAGACCAGGAAUCUAGUAGGAGUUUUAGUAGUCUAAUGUUCAAGAGAUUUAAAACGUACUGGAGAGAUGCUAAUCUUUUUCCUAAUCAGUUCUCAUGGCUAGACGAAAUGAACAUUUUUAUUUAUGUAUGUAUGUAUGUAUUUAUUUUUUUUAAUUCAGCAGUUUAUUAAGAAAUGUCUUUAAGCUGAUUAGAUUAGGUUUUCAUAGAUUACACAACAUGACAUUUCUUAUUGAUCCUUCUGUUUUUGCAUUUCUUGGAAAUUAGAAACAUUUGGAAAUAAUACUGCAGUUAAAUGUGUACAUCUGUAAUGUUUGGUGUUGUCAAAUGACUUAACUGUUGUUGUUUCAAAUAAAUAAAAUAAAUAAA